AAGAAUUAGUAUUAGCGCAACAAACUAAUUUCCAGCCUCCAGUUCAGGAGAAUGACUAUUCAGAUCCUUGAUGAUACCAAGUGAGUAACAACUUACCUGAAACCUCAAUUUAUUUUGUUGAUUUAAGUGUAUGUUAUUAUAUAUCAUUUGCGGAAUUUAUUCUUCUGUUGAUUACGAAUUUGCUGGUUUUGCAUAGUUAUUAAUCGUAUUACUGGUUUCUUAAUGUUCGCUAGUGGUUGAAGUUCGAUAACGCAUACUGGAGUUCGAUAACCCAUACUGGUUGUUAAAAGUGAACUUUCUUGUUUAAUAUUGGAUGAACUCAAAAUAGGCAAUAAAGUCUGCUACUGUAAUAACAUUCAGUUAUUUCCAUGCAAGAUGAUUCCUAAAUUGCCAAUAAACAAUCAAGAGAAUAACAAGAAGAUACACAAGUUUUGCUUUUCCAGACUUUAGCUUACUAUCAAAACAUAAACAUCAAGAACAAAAGUAAAUGCCUACGAAUAUCCAAGUAUAUGAAUAUACAUUCUAGGUUCUCUUCUCAUAAGCAAGGAUAGGAACAGGUGAAUGGUAGUUCAUCUGCUACUGUUGCUUUUUUUUUUGCUGACAUCUUUUAGUCAUUCUCUAAGCUAGAUCUACCUUGGGUCUAUUUCUAGAGAGGUCUCUAUCACCUAAAUUAUACACUUCUAUACCUACUAAACAAACUGUUCUUUUUGUCAAUUACUAAUUCUUGGCAACUAAAAUCCAGUGACUCCAAGAAGAAAGUUAAAAAUCCAACAUUGACCGGACCAAGUAACAGUUAGUAACAAGCAUAAAAUAGCUCUCUUUUUAUGUUUCAAGCAUGGGUGAUGGGUCUUAGAGGUACAAUUCCUAAAGAAUUAGGAAAUCUCUCUUUUGAUUUCUCAUGAUAUGAGUGGCAACUAUUUUCAGAAGAUCUGGUUAAUUAACGAUGACAAUGAAGCAUCAAACUAGAUUAGAACAACUUCCAUCAUGGUUGGUUUCUUGAAUAGGAUUCAAGUUUUGAUUCUAAGAAAUAAAGGUUUCAAAGUUUUCAAAAAGGCAAUGAUACACCUUGGGUCUAUUUCUAGAGUGGUCUAUAUCACCUAAAUUAUGCACUUCCAUACCUACUAAACUUACUUUUCUUUUUGUCAAUUCCCAUACCUACUGUGAUAACAUUCCGUCUACACUAUUAUAUAUAGUUUUUCUAACUGAAAUUUCUUAUUUCUUCUACAGGUUUUGGAUAUUGAAGUUUACUAGAAGCAGAUUUUUGACGACAUACAGAUUAACCAUCAUUUUCCUGGGAAUUUCAAGAAAAUUUUACAUUACAAUCGAGGGAUAUUAGUGAUAUGUAGUUUUUUGCUAAAUGUUUAUGAACACAAUAUUGUUACUAGCUUACAUCAUUAAUGUAUGG
rnacentral:lncRNA from 1 species